GUGCAGCCGCCGCGGUAAUACGUAGGGGGCAAGCGUUAUCCGGAAUUACUGGGCGUAAAGGGUGCGCAGGCGGUUAUACAAGUCAGAAGUGAGAGGCUAUGGCCUAACCAUAGUAAGCUUUUGAAACUGUAUAACUUGAGUGCAGGAGAGGAAAGUGGAACUUCUAGUGUAGUGGUGAAAUGCGUAGAUAUUAGAAGGAACACCAGUAGCGAAGGCGACUUUCUGGACUGUAACUGACGCUGAGGCACGAAAGUGUGGGUAGCAAACAGGAUUAGAUACCCCAGUAGUCC
rnacentral:rRNA from 1 species